GAUGAACGCUGGCGGCGUGCCUAAUACAUGCCAGUCGAGCGAACGGACGAGAAGCUUGCUUCUCUGAUGUUAGCGGCGGACGGGUGAGUAACACGUGGAUAACCUACCUAUAAGACUGGGAUAACUUCGGGAAACCGGAGCUAAUACCGGAUAAUAUUUUGAACCGCAUGGUUCAAAAGUGAAAGACGGUCUUGCUGUCACUUAUAGAUGGAUCCGCGCUGCAUUAGCUAGUUGGUAAGGUAACGGCUUACCAAGGCAACGAUGCAUAGCCGACCUGAGAGGGUGAUCGGCCACACUGGAACUGAAACGCGGUCCAGACUCCUACGGGAGGCAGCAGUAGGGAAUCUUCCGCAAUGGUCGAAAGCCUGACGGAGCAACGCCGCGUGAGUGAUGAAGGUCUUCGGAUCGUAAAACUCUGUUAUUAGGGAAGAACAUAUGUGUAAGUAACUGUGCACAUCUUGACGGUACCUAAUCAGAAAGCCACGGCUAACUACGUG
rnacentral:rRNA from 1 species